ensembl:lncRNA MIR7515HG MIR7515 host gene
AUGGAAGCUGUGUUCAGGCCGGUCCACGCUGGGUGACCCAUGUGACCUGCUGCUUAGCAAUUCCUUGUCACCAUCUUCCCUUCUCAGCCUCUUUUUUCAUGCUAACAGGCAUAAAUGAAAUGAUAAAAGUUUGAGCUCUUCUCGUGGAAUUCUCGUGAUACAGAUAUGUGCUACAUGUUCAUCAUCUCGUUGGUCUUCACCAUGAUAACUGUGGAGUAAGAAUUAUAAGCAGGUCACAGAUUAGGGACUUGAGAUUGACAGUUUGGCUUCCCUGUUCUGGGUGGCAAAGCCUGUGGAGUACUCACCUACCUGCUGCAUGAAGGCAGCAUGGAGGGACUGUGGUGGAUUAUCUGCAAAGAUGGCCAAAAUUCUCUCAUCCCUGCAGGCACAUACAAGGUAAGAACACCUUUACCAGUGGAAUGUGAUGAAAAUGCUGCCCAGACAAUUCUAGACAGGGCCUUAAGAGGUCUAGAUGCUUCCACAUUUGCUUUCUUGGGAGCUCUGAGUUAUCAUGUGAGAACCACCAGUCUCCCCAACCUGCACCCUAAGCUCAUUAUCCACAAGGCUGUGCAAAAUAAUAAAUCACUGUUGUUAGGACGCAAAGUUUGGUAGUGGUUUGUUAUGUAGUCGUGGAUAACUGCAGCAGGGAUCUCAGCAACUUUUCUUCUCUGAACUAAUGUUUAAAGUCAGGAUGUAACAUAUUGUCUCCAUGUGACUUUGUUGAACUAAAUAAAGAAUGCUAAUACCAGAUGCGGACCCUGCCUCUUCUGUUCUCUAAGACUAGGCAUUGCUCUCUGAUCAGAAGAGUCAAUCCUGGUGAGUUUAACUUGAGCCUCAGAAUCCUACUCAACACAAAGUUCCAGAGAGAAGCGAUUAUCAAUGCCAAUACCUUAGAGAUGGUACUGGCUGUGGAAUCUGUCAUCCCUUGACUAGGUGGUCUCUAAGUUCCUUUCCAAUUUUAAUGUUUUCUGUUCUGAUUUAUCUUUUGGCAUUGUGCAGGUGUCAGGAGAAAAAAAUAAUGCCAAUGUGUCUCUUUAAUUCCUUUAUCAUUAAGUCAUAACCUUUCCCAACUCCCAAUCCAGUUUUCUUACGUCAAUACUUUGGUUUUUGCUUUGUGAAGAUGCCAGAAUCAGUCAAAACUAAGCUCACUGUCCUUGCUAAUAUUCUGCCCCAGAGAAGAACUGAAGCUCAGCUCUUCACCCUACAGAAAGCCUGAAUUUUGUAAAUGUUCUGCUUAGAAUGAGGAAGAAAGAUGAAGAAUGAGGAGGAAGAAGGAAGGAACGAGAGAGAGGUAAAGCCAACAAGCAGAACAGACCUACAUUUGCAGCAUCUCCAAGUUUCUGCAACAGCAUUAUGUUGUUGUUAUGUUUUGUUUUAAUAAAAGCACAUACCAU